rnacentral:rRNA from 1 species
CCUACGGGAGGCAGCAGUGAGGAAUAUUGGUCAAUGGACGAGAGUCUGAACCAGCCAAGUAGCGUGAAGGAUGACUGCCCUAUGGGUUGUAAACUUCUUUUAUAUGGGAAUAAAAUGUUCCACGUGUGGGAUUUUGUAUGUACCAUAUGAACAAGGAUCGGCUAACUCCGUGCCAGCAGCCGCGGUAAUACGGAGGAUCCGAGCGUUAUCCGGAUUUAUUGGGUUUAAAGGGAGCGUAGGUGGAUUGUUAAGUCAGUUGUGAAAGUUUGCGGCUCAACCGUAAAAUUGCAGUUGAAACUGGCAGUCUUGAGUACAGUAGAGGUGGGCGGAAUUCGUGGUGUAGCGGUGAAAUGCUUAGAUAUCACGAAGAACUCCGAUGGCGAAGGCAGUUCACUGGACUGCAACUGACACUGAGGCUCGAAAGUGUGGGUAUCAAACAGGAUUAGAUACCCGGGUAGUC